GGAAAUGAUAAUAGUAUAUUAAACAAAUCCCAGUACCACACCAAAAGGAGGCAGCAAAUCAGAGCUAAACAUAUCUAUCUGCGUUUUAUUUCCACAUGUAAGAGAGCAACACAAAACAGGUUUAUAAUAUUUGGAUGUUUUAUUUUCUUUAAAUCAAGCAGGUUACAUUUCAUUCGUUUACACAAUCUGAUAUUUGGAGCCAUUUGCAAAUAUGCUCAAAUUACAUGAUUUGUAAUCAAUCAAAAAAUCAUACAAGAAUGAGGUGGUUAAUGAACAAUAUUGGGAUCAACAGUGAUCACCCUACUAAUGUAGGCAUUACGUAUGCAGGCAGAAAAAGAAAUGUUCCCAUUAAGGUCUCAUGUGAAACACCACAGGUCUGAAAUACUCAGGAACACAUGAAAAUGGCACAAAAAUGAAUUUCACUCUCCAACCUUUUGCUAAAGAGACGUUGACAGGCCCACAGAGAGCCUGGAGCUCACGGGACAACAUUCACACACACAUUCUGCUUCAUGAAGAGGUCAGAUUAUCGUCAGACCAUAGACAUUACAUUCAAGGACACUGAACAUUUGGCGAACAAAGGUUCAAAUAUCCUCCAAAGCACUUCAAGCCCUCAAAGAAUGAAACUCAAAACGCAGAUGAGGUAAAAGAAGAAACUUCUUAAUUAAAGUGGAGCGACCCAGGGACAAGUCUGGUUUGGGUUAAAGAUUAUGGAUGGUUAACUUUGUGUAACGUGUUUGGACAAGCAAGUUUAGGUUUUAGCCAAGCGAGUACAGGCAAGCGAGUCAAGCUAAGCAAGUUAGGUUUUAUGCAAGCAAGUUCAGGUAUUAGGCAAGCGAGUUUAGGCAAGCGAGUUCAGGUAUUAGGCAAGCGAGUUUAGGCAAGCAAGUUCAGGUAUUAGGCAAGCGAGUUUAGGCAAGCGAGUUUAGGCAAGCGAGUUUAGGCAAGCGAGUUUAGGCAAGCGAGUUUAGGUAUUAGGCAAGCGAGUUUAGGCAAGCAAGUUCAGGUAUUAGGCAAGCGAGUUUAGCCAAGCAAGUUCAGGUUUUAUGCAAGCGAGUUUAGGCAAGAGAGUCAAGUUACUUUAGGCCUCACUUUAUUUGAGGUUAAAUUGCGGCAUUAGGUUUAGAAAGAAGGUUAAGAUCCAGGCUCAGGUUUGCUUCCAGCCUCGUCCCUCUAGUCACUCCCUAUAAAGAGGGUUCCCAGCUACCGUGUUAAAAUACAACAGCUGGGAUUACAGAUAUGGAGUACAGAAAUAAAUGACAAAGAUUGAUUCAAACAUUCUUCCCCCAAAAUGUGGUGCAACAUAAUGGAGAAAAUAUUUACUUUCUCUCCAUUGAAACCCAGUCAUAUUUUACGAUCUCACGAGGUCCCGCCGCAAGGGGCGGACUUACAAGCUCUAUAGAGUGUGCACUGUGUGUUAAUGUUGGGUGUGGAUUAAUGUGCUGGUGUAGCCAGGGAUCCUCAGGGUUUAUGGGGAGUAGGACACACUGGUGUAGUUCAGUACUGUGAAGUAAAUUGAUGCAAAAAGUAGAAUCAGUUUCAAGGGCAAUGAAAUGUCUAUAAAUGCAGGAACAGCCCCAUCUGGUCUCAAUCAGCAUUUGAUUUCAUAGACUUAAAUUAGCAAAAAAACAUUUAUUUACCGCAACAGUCCUAGUGCUGGAGAACCAUGUUUCAAAAAAUGUCAAUACGAGCCUCCAGGUGCAUUGGAGUUACUGCAUUUAAUUAACUUUAAUUUAAUUAAGAGCACACUAGUCAGUGGAGAUGUUCACUGAAAAGACUGGUCUUCAGACCUUUAUAAAGAUCAGGAGGGAUUAUAUAAUUGCCGUUUGACGUGUUAGGUCUGUUCAAGGAGGAAGUAAAUAUUUACCAGCGUUGGGUCUCUGCACCAUGACACCCAGCUGCCGCACAUCUGGU
ensembl:lncRNA